UACGGAGGACCCGAGCGUUAUCCGGAUUCAUUGGGUUUAAAGGGUGCGUAGGCGGACCUGUAAGUCAGUGGGGAAAUCCCUUCGCUUAACGAAGGAACUGCCAUUGAUACUGCUGGUCUUGAGUACAGUUGAGGUGGGCGGAAUGUGUCGUGUAGCGGUGAAAUGCUUAGAUAUGACACAGAACACCGAAUGCGAAGGCAGCUCGCUAAACUGUAACUGACGCUGAGGCACGAAAGCGUGGGUAGCAAACAGG
rnacentral:rRNA from 1 species